GAAAUGUGAUAAGUAAUGUGAAUUGCAGAAUUCAGUGAAUCAUCGAAUCUUUGAACGCACAUUGCGCUCGCCAGUAUUCUGGCGAGCAUGCCUGUUCGAGCGUCAUUUCAACCAUCAAGCUCUGCUUGCGUUGGGGAUCCGCGGCUGCCCGCGGUCCCUCAAAAACAGUGGCGGGCUCGCUAGUCACACCGAGCGUAGUAACUCUACAUCGCUAUGGUCGUGCGGCGGGUUCUUGCCGUAAAACCCCCAAUUUCUAAGGUUGACCUCGGAUCAGGUAGGAAUACCCGCUGAACUUAAGC
rnacentral:misc_RNA from 1 species